rnacentral:piRNA from 1 species
GCCCUUUUGGAGUGACGUGCUGAAAGAUG